rnacentral:rRNA from 1 species
UACGGAGGGGGCUAGCGUUGUUCGGAAUUACUGGGCGUAAAGGGCGCGUAGGCGGACAUCUAAGUCAGGGGUGAAAUCCCAGGGCUCAACCCUGGAAUUGCCUUUGAUACUGGACGUCUCGAGUUCGGGAGAGGUGAGUGGAAUUCCGAGUGUAGAGGUGAAAUUCGUAGAUAUUCGGAGGAACACCAGAAGCGAAGGCGGCUCACUGGCCCGAUACUGACGCUGAGGCGCGAAAGUGUGGGGAGCAAACAGG